UAGCAAAAGACAAGGCUGAAAAGUUGAUCCAAAUAGACUUCCAAUUUAACAUUGCUCAAUUUUAUAGAUCAUUACUCCGAACCCUCAGCACCAGAAGCACCUUCUUCAUCAGAAGAUUCUGCAUUUUCAUCAUAUUCUUCAGCAACAUCGCUUUCACUUUCAGCUUGAAAAUCUUCGUCUUCUGAUAGUGCUUCUUCCAUUUCCUCAUC